rnacentral:rRNA from 1 species
CCUACGGGGGGCAGCAGUGAGGAAUAUUGGUCAAUGGACGCAAGUCUGAACCAGCCAUGCCGCGUGCAGGAAGACGGCUCUAUGAGUUGUAAACUGCUUUUGUACGAGGGUAAACGCAGAUACGCGUAUCUGUCUGAAAGUAUCGUACGAAUAAGGAUCGGCUAACUCCGUGCCAGCAGCCGCGGUAAUACGGAGGAUUCAAGCGUUAUCCGGAUUUAUUGGGUUUAAAGGGUGCGUAGGCGGUCGGGUAAGUUAGAGGUGAAAUCCCGAGGCUCAACUUCGGGAUUGCCUCUGAUACUGUUCGGCUAGAGAGUAGUUGCGGUAGGCGGAAUGUAUGGUGUAGCGGUGAAAUGCUUAGAGAUCAUACAGAACACCGAUUGCGAAGGCAGCUUACCAAGCUACUUCUGACGUUGAGGCACGAAAGCGUGGGGAGCGAACAGGAUUAGAUACCCUUGUAGUC